AUGGCCAAACCGCCCAUGGUUACCAGUCUGACUCCCAUAGUACCAUGGUACGAUGCUUGAAAAACUAUGGUAUUACUAUGUAUGUCUAAAAACCCAUGGUAUUACAAUUGUACAAUGUCCAAAAUAAAGAGUACUGCCAUAAUGUAAUAUAUGCAAUAUUUUUCUGUGUGUUAAUAAAAAUAUUUUUCUAUAAACUCCAAAGUAAACAUUAAUACUUCAAAUAUUGCUUUGAAAACUUAACUGUUGUUAUCCAUGAACUUUAUUUGAUAGUCCUGUUUAAAAUACUAUGCAUUUACUGUGUAGCUGCAUUAUACUAUUAGGUACCAGCCCUGAACCUAACCCAUAUUAAGUAGAACAUGCAGUUAACAGUACUUUUUUAUGUAUGUUGUAUACAUUGUAAGAACAUGGUUUGCCUAUAAGAGAAAAAAUUUUAAGAUAACGGAAGCAUGACAGACAGGCUGAUAAUCAUUACAAACUUGUUUUUUUCUGUCACCUCACUCUGUGAAUGUGUUAAUGUGGUAUUACUAACAAUGGAGCGUAGGCAUGAAAGCUUGUGCACUUGUGUAAGUCCAUACGUUUUUUGUCAUAUAAACACUCUUGAGUCCUGGGACUGUAGACUUCCUGGCCUUUUUGGAGUCGGCAGGAGUUCCUUUUUGUCCAAAAGAGCCCUGUGUAAGGACCAGCGGGGGUGCAGGAUGCUGGAGGUGUGUGCCCAAGCUCCAGCUUUUGUUCCCCACCGCUGAUUGAUGCUGAUGGCCUUUAGCUUGCUCAGAAAGAGCAGCUUGAGUGUAACUGGACCUCCACAGAGCGGAAGCUUGACUUGGCAGAAGACACAGUAAGAGGGAGAGGCGACAUUUAUAGAGAACACCAGCACAUGCCAACUAAAAACGGGAUUUGCAUCUGUCAUAAUUCGGAUAUUCUCAUACUACAGUCGAUGAUGAAUGGAAAUGUGCAACUUGUGUUUAUCUUAGAUGCUGCUCUAUGUCCUGAUCCCAGGUUUGAUUCAUUCAUCAUGAUGAACACAGAUGUACACAGUUACGAACAUACACUGCAAAAUCACAAGUGUUAUAAGUGUUAAUGGUCUGGUGGUACUCAUAUAAACACCAGCAGUGUACAUUUAACACUGGUGAUUUUGCUGUGUAAAAAUAAAAACUACAAAUCUGUUCUCAGGCCAGGAUUGAAGACCACAUUUGUCCUUGUAGAAGAGUCUGUGAAAGAAUAGAUCAUAUCUGUUCUUUAUUAAACCCACAUGUCAAUGGAUGAUAACAGUGACUUCAUCUGAUUUUCCUUGAUGUGCUUAGCCCUUAUGUAAUGUGAUGUUAUAUAAAAAUAUGAUAUUAAACUGCACCUGUUGAUGGCUGUGAGAAGUAUUUAUGGAGUCUCAUCUAAACAGCCUGGAAUGAAAAGAUAGUCACCUUUGGAUUAAAACAUACUUUCUCUGUGUAGCUAUUUUGUGUGUUUUAGUUUAGUGUUUCAACCACUUAGUAACAUGAGCACUAUUUCAAAAGAUGAUUGGCCAAUUUCAAACUCAAAUGAUCAGCCAGGAGAACAAGCCUCUCUAAGUCUUUGCUUUCAUACAGGGGGAUUUGAGGGGCUUCAAUUCAUGGUGCACUUAAAUUAAAUUCCUCUUGUGUAUAGACCCACACUGGGACUAGCACAAGAUUCCUAUUUUUCAAGCCUCUUUGUGUCCACUGUGCUAUAGACAUCCUGCACAUUAUAGGCCAUUUGGUCUCCUGGGCCAAAAGCCUCAUUUCACAUAAAAGAAAAACAGUGUGUAACGGGGUGAUAUGAGUUUGAGACUGCAUUUCCCAUAAGGCUAUGCAGUAGCGUAAUGUUUACGUCAGCACGCCUUAUAAAUAGACGCACGGUAGCAUAGCGUGUCCUCCUCUUUCAUUCAUUGAUGUUGCCAACAAGCAAACAUUAUUAUAAGGUAACCUGUGCUUGAUUGUGUUUGUGUAAUUAUAUGGGGUGUGUGGUAGCAUAACACACUUUCGUUUCAUUUAUGCAUUGAUGUUGUAUACAAGUAUUUGCUACUAAGUGAUUUGCACUUCACGCUGUCUGUAUACUAUAAAUAGACUCAUAGUAGUGUGGAUUGCUUUCACCUCAUUUGUCGGGUCUACAAACAAGCCUGUCGAUCUUCAGGUUACUGUUCAUUUAAUUUAAUGCGGGUAUAAGGCAUCUUCAUGUACAGAUUUUAUUGUUAAGAUGUUAAUGGUGAUUGGUCUGACGACAGAGUCUUCAAAGAGUAUGAGUGAUGUAUGAGCGAAAUGCUUGUUAGAGGUAAUGAGUAUUAAUAAGUCUUUCUGUUAAUAUGCUAAAAUAAGUUUUUGCUCAUAAAGGUUGUUUGUAGGUUCCUUUUUAAUAGAAGAAACAACCGGUUGGUUUUAAUUCUGUCUUUCUCAGAUCCAGAUAUAUGUUAAAGGUAUUUUCUUAAUUUGGUAAAACCUCUAAUUUAAUUUAAGGGUUGAUUUAAGGAAUUCAUAUUAAGUGUUUGUUUUACAGGUCGAGCACGACUAUUGUUACUAUUUUAUAUUUUGAUUUUUGUGGUGAAUUACCCCUUUUUCAUUGUAUAAGUGAUUUAUGAUUAUUAUUAGUAUUUGUGUUAUGAUUUGAGGGUUUUCUAUUCAUUAUUAUUAUUUUUAUUUUAUUUUUGUGAAUGUAUGAUUAAUUUUGUUUCCUCUCUUUGUAGUUUCAUCCUUUCUGACUCUCGGCAGCACAGGGGCUUCCCUUGUGGGUGCGACUGGGACUGGUGCGGUGGUGGGAUAUUCUUGUGACGUGGCACCUUUUAUUGUGUGCUGUGAUUGCUGUGUUGAAGUGGGGUUGCAUUGCAGUGGUUGUAUAUCCUUCACAAUUCCAGUGGCGCCUUUUAAGGAGCCCUGUGAUUUUGUCAUGAGAGUAUAAAUAUUGUUCUGCAUCAUGAGGUUUGCCAUAGUAUUUUAAAUAUUUUAUCAUGUUAUAUGGAAUUAGAAGUUUUGUAUUAUAAAUAAAACUGCUUGUAAAAGUGAUCAUUUCUAUUACCGUCUGUGGCAUUAAGUUUAUAGGUUUAAAUACCAGGUCAGGUUGGUUACAAGUGUUAAAAAGGAAAUUGGAAGUAUAUGAAGAUCUACUGUUUUAAGAUCAGACUCUCCCCAUACUAAGAUAAAAUUGCACAUUUUUUUUUUUAACUUACAGAAUUCAAGCUGUACAUUUUUAUCAGUACACUGUGUUCCCCAGGGAAUACACAUGCCAUAUCAACACAGGCAUUUACAGGUGCAAUAUUGUUCACUGAUUCUGCAGUAAAGCGACUUCGUAUACACCCUAAAAGUCAUUGUCAUGGUGAUGUUUUUCUGACAAUUUUUAUCCUUUCUUGGGACGUAUUCUGGAGUUCACUUUUAAAUGAAUUUCACUAAACCAGACAAUCUGCUAAGGAUAUUUAAUUCCUUUAACUGACAACCCAGGCAGGCUUUUUUAACCACUGACCUGUGUUGAUCAGUAAAUAAACAGUAUAAAGGUAUAAACCUCCUGAGCUUGCAGGCAGGGGAAGCCCGGCAUGAUUGGAAUGUAUUGAUCAAUGC